rnacentral:rRNA from 1 species
UACAGACGGUCCAAACGUUAUUCGGAAUCACUGGGCUUAAAGGGCGCGUAGGCGGCCUGAUAAGUAGGGGGUGAAAUUCCGUGGCUCAACCACGGAACUGCCUUCUAGACUGCCAGGCUUGAGCACGGUAGAGGCAGAUGGAAUUCCCGGUGUAGCGGUGGAAUGCGUAGAGAUCGGGAAGAACACCAGUGGCGAAGGCGGUCUGCUGGGCCGUUGCUGACGCUGAGGCGCGAAAGCUAGGGUAGCAAACGGG